rnacentral:rRNA from 1 species
GGAUUAGAUACCCUGGUAGUCCACGCCGUAAACGAUGUCUACUAGUUGUCGGUUGUCUUGUACGACGGGUAACGCAGCUAACGCGAUAAGUAGACCGCCUGGGGAGUACGGCCGCAAGGUUAAAACUCAAAUGAAUUGACGGGGGCCCGCACAAGCGGUGGAGCAUGUGGUUUAAUUCGAUGCAACGCGAAGAACCUUACCAAGUCUUGACAUCCUGCGAAUUUUCUAGAGAUAGAUUGGUGCCUUCGGGAACGCAGAGACAGGUGCUGCAUGGCUGUCGUCAGCUCGUGUUG